CAAAAGAAGCGAAACGAAAGCCAAGAUUUAGUGUGGAAAUUUUGGAAGUAAGCCGGGACUGCGUUUGUGGUGGCUUACAUUAAUCAUGCGAUGGAAAAAUACCCCCGGCGACUUACGAUGGAGUUCCGGUGGACGUACUUAUUUAGAACAAACAGAGGCUGUUCGGGAAUCCCGUGUAAUCCGGGCACUUAUCACGGCUGCAAAAUGCAAAUUUCCCGGCCGGGCAUUACGGGCCGGGAAACGUCAGGGAUAUUGUCAAAGUUCGCUAUCGAGGGAUACACAGGUUAAUCUCAGGUCUAAACUUCACAAGAGGUGGGCUACUCUAUUCGCAAUUAACACGAGUAGAUGCUGUUUUUGAUGCAAACUGGAAGAUGCCUCUAUCCCACUACUACUGAUAAUAAAAGUUCUAAAAGCAAGCUCCUUCAAACGAAGCGAAGAUUCUAAACAGAAGACCUUCAAAAUUCGGCUAGCUACAAACAAAACGGGUGACGUACGGCGCGAAUUCCAUAUGGCACUUACGCACGCAAACCUGUUAUAAAGACAUAAAUAUCGGGACCAAGAGCCACCUAUCAAAACGCACAUUAAAUUAGGUCGGUCGGUAAUAGAAUCGAAAUAAUAGACCUACCCUCGCUAAACGGCUUUAUAGCACCUUUUUAACAUAAAUUACUGCGAAAUAAAACACAA